GGGACCGGGCGGCGGCGGCGGCUGCGGCGGCGGCGUUGGCGCGGCGGGACCGGGAUGGAAGGGAGCGCGGUGACUGUCCUUGAGCGCGGAGGGGCGAGCUCACCGCCGGAGCGCCGGAGCAAGAGGAGGCGCAGGAGCGGCGGCGGCGGCGCCCGAGCACCCGAGGGGGUCCGAGUCCCCGCAGCCGGUCAGCCCCGCGCCACAAAGGGAGCGCCCCCGCCGCCCGGCACGCCGCCUCCCUCCCCAAUGUCCUCGGCCAUCGAGAGGAAGAGCCUGGACCCGUCUGAAGAACCAGUGGAUGAGGUGCUGCAGAUCCCUCCAUCCCUGCUGACAUGCGGAGGCUGCCAGCAGAACAUCGGGGACCGCUACUUCCUAAAGGCAAUCGACCAGUACUGGCACGAGGACUGCCUCAGCUGUGACCUGUGUGGGUGCCGACUGGGCGAGGUGGGGCGGCGCCUCUACUACAAGCUGGGCCGGAAGCUGUGCCGUAGAGACUAUCUCAGGCUUUUUGGCCAAGAUGGUCUCUGUGCUUCCUGUGACAAGCGGAUCCGUGCCUAUGAGAUGACGAUGCGGGUGAAAGACAAAGUUUAUCACCUGGAGUGUUUCAAAUGUGCUGCCUGUCAGAAGCAUUUCUGUGUUGUUCCCUGACUUCAAUAAGAAGCUAAGCUGGGUGCAGUUGCAUGUUCCUGUAGUCCUAGCUACUCAGAAGGCUGAGGUCCCUGUGAAGUCUCUGCACACAUCAAAUACAGCUAACCUGUCUGACCCAUGUGACUUCUGAGAAGAGGUCACUUCUGCCUUGCUGUCUCUUGAAUCACUUGUUGUAGGGAAAACCAGUUGUCAUGACAUGAAGACAUUGAAACAGCUCUGUGGGGAGGUCGGUGUGGGGAAGUGCCCAGCCAACAGCCACACUCAUCUGCCACUGGUGUCAAUGAGCGAUAGAAGUGGACCUUCCAUCCCCAGUCAGACCUUCAGAUGACUGCAGCCUCAGCUUGGAUCUUGAAAACUCCCAAGAAACUCCCAGAACUAGUUAAUUACUUGAGCUGCCCCUGAAUUCCUAACCCACAGAACUGAUGUAAGAUAGAUAAUUGUUGUGUUGACUUUUGGGGUAAUUUGUUAUGUAACAAGCUAUAAUUACAUACAUUUACCAACUUCUAUGACAAUUUCAAGGACUAAUUUGAAUCUAAUGAAAACAAUUGUGGGCUUGGCUUUUACUUUGUAUGCCUUUUUAAAAUUGUAUGUCCCUAGUCAUCUAAUUUGUAUUACAUUAUACAAAAGUAUCAAUACAUGGUCCACUCCACAAAGAGUUUGAAAAGCACUGAUGAGGAUGAUGCAAUUUUAAAGGAAGUUGCAAAGGGUUUUGAUGUCAUCCAGUCUAACCCAAGAGUUCACAGGUUUGCAGAGAUAAAACUCUGCUUCCUGGCAGCAUUAUUACAAUCAGUGUUAUUAACUAUGCAUCUCAUUAAGCAUUUGCCAGACAAAUGCACAUCCUAAGUAUUUUAUGGUCUUUAGGACAUUAGCCAGCAGAUAUGUCCAUCCCAAUUUUAUAGAGGAGGAAACUGAGGCUCUGUGUAAAGUAUGGGUUUUAUCUAAGCCAGGUCAUCUGACUCUGAACACAUUGUAUUGUCUCAGCUUCAUUAAUUUAUGU